rnacentral:rRNA from 1 species
UUCCUACGGGAGGCAGCAGUGGGGAAUAUUGCACAAUGGGCGCAAGCCUGAUGCAGCCAUGCCGCGUGUGUGAAGAAGGCCUUCGGGUUGUAAAGCACUUUCAGCGAGGAGGAAGGUGGUGAACUUAAUACGUUCAUCAAUUGACGUUACUCGCAGAAGAAGCACCGGCUAACUCCGUGCCAGCAGCCGCGGUAAUAAUC